rnacentral:rRNA from 1 species
GACGAACGCUGGCGGCGUGCCUAAUACAUGCAAGUCGAGCGAAUUUAUGGGAGCUUGCUCCCAUAAAUUAGCGGCGGACGGGUGAGUAACACGCGGGCAACCUGCCUAUAAGACUGGGAUAACUUCGGGAAACCGGAGCUAAUACCGGAUAAUUCCUUUCCUCACAUGGGGGAAGGCUGAAAGAUGGUUUACGCUAUCACUUAUAGAUGGGCCCGCGGCGCAUUAGCUAGUUGGUGAGGAACGGCUCACCAAGGCAACGAUGCGUAGCCGACCUGAGAGGGUGAUCGGCCACACU